AGAGGUGGACACUCAGCGAUCGGAGCCACCCAGGUGCCCCCCGGCUUGUACUGUACACGGGGCUCCGAAAUCCUUCCGGGGCCCUGCUCCCAGGCUUCUUGCAUCCCAUCGGCCAAGCUGGCUGCGAGCUUCCUUCAGAACCAGUGGCUGCCGGGGGAUGGCGAGACCUCAGCCAAUUGUCAUUGUCCUCGGAGGCCUGGGGACCGGUCCUCCUGCCUUCCGAGGGGCUAUUUUAGUUGGGUAGCCCCUACAGGUGCUGCCGCCCAAAUAAAAUCAGCUCUUACAGACUAGAAAGAGGAGAUAAUACGCAGGUCAUGGUCUUAAGUUUCCUGCCUUCAAGACCCUGGUGGAGGGAGAACAAAAAGACACAAAGAAGUGACCCAAGUCAGCUCCCUCCCAAAUCCCUCUUGAGGGCAUUUACUGUGAAAAAGGAAAUGAAAGGCCUUAUCUCUGCGAGGCACUUGCCAGGAUCUAACUGGUUAAGGACUGCAGGCCUCCUUGGGCCCAGCCUCCAGGAAGACAUGAGCCUCAGCUGUGUAAUGGCCGAGUGUGAAAUGGAGCUGUUUCCCCCCCUCCCCCCUGGUGGGAGCAGCGUCCUGCGUGCGUGCGGCUCGCAGAGGCCUGGGCGCCCUCCUGGCAUGAGGAAGGAUCUGGCUACACUGGACGUCCCAGACUUCGGGUCUCAGAUCCCCACGCCUUGUGUAUCUUUUGAAUGACAGAAGAGGCCAAUACUGGAUAAGAUCUCCGAUUUCUUGCGAGUCUGAUGGAAGAAUCUCGAAUUUGGGGUUCUCUAAGGUCACCAUGUGCCCUUGGAGCCGCCAUGCUGCAGGGAAGCCCAAUCACAUGCAGAGGCUCAUGUGGAAAGAGAACAAAGUUCUGAGUCCUCAACUCCAGCGAGCUCCCAGCCAACAGCCAGCACCGACCUGCCAGCCACGUGAGGGGUCUUCCUGGAAAGAGUCCUCUAGCCCUCAGUCAGGCCCCCCAGGUGAGUCUGGGUGGAUUAGACACGACUGUUUCCUGCCAAGUCCUGCCCACAUUUCCAUGAGAAAAACAAGUCAUUGUUUCAAGCCCCUGGGUUUGGCGCUGGUUUCUCACACUAUAUUCCUGUGUAACUGUCCCUGAACAACACCCAUAUAACUCUCACCACCUCUAAAUAAGGAAAAUUUCUGUUGCCCAGAAGUUUCCCUCAUACACCCCCCUGGUCAGCCACCCCAGCCAGCAAAAGGUAAUUGCUACUCUGGCCUCUAGCACCACAUAUGAGUUUUGCCUAUUGUGAAGUUUUGUAUAAAUGGAAUCGUGACGUC